rnacentral:rRNA from 1 species
AAACGUAGGUGGCAAGCGUUGUCCGGAAUUACUGGGUGUAAAGGGAGCGCAGGUGGGCUGACAAGUCAAAUGUGAAAUGCAGGAGCUCAACUCCUGAACUGCGUUUGAUACUGUUGGUCUUGAGUGGAGUAGAGGAAAGCGGAAUUCCCGGUGUAGCGGUGGAAUGCGUAGAUAUCGGGAGGAACACCAGUGGCGAAGGCGGCUUUCUGGGCUCUAACUGACACUGAGGCUCGAAAGCGUGGGUAGCAAACAGGAUUAGAUACCCUGGUAGUCCACGCCGUAAACGAUGAUUACUAGGUGUGGGUGGACUGACCCCAUCCGUGCCGCAGUUAACACAAUAAGUAUUCCGCCUGGGGAGUACGGCCGCAAGGUUGAAACUCAAAGGAAUUGACGGGG